AUACUUUAAACACUUCUAAUUCUAACUAGAAAAUACUAACAAAUGAAUUACUAAGCAAAAAUAUUAUAAACUAAAUAACUGUCGUAAAGACAGCACAAGCUUGUUGCAAUGACAUUUGGGAAUUUAACCUAGGUUCAAUAUAAAUCUUAUCACUAUGGCCAAGAGUUCAGGUGAUCUUCCCAUCUAUCAACCCAAUAAAUGCAACACAAUGGCAAAUGGAGAAAAAAAUCAAUCUACAGAUGUUGGAAAUAAAACAGAAAAUGCUGGGAAGACUAAUGUCGGUGCUGUGAGUGGUUGAAGUUUAUCCUGAAAAGAGUAUGAAAUAAAAUACAUUACAAUGUGGAAGCAGAACUGUCAAAAGUUUCACAGAAAAGCCUAAAGAAUCAGCUUGCAGCCUAAUUAUGCUGUGCUCAAAAAGGAGACAAGUAAACCAUUCAUCUCAGCCUUUUCCUUUUAAUUCAAAAAAAUACAGUUAUCUAACAAAAACUGAAAUGAUGGAAAAACUCAUCCAAUCAAGUAGCAUCUGAGGAAAGAAACCCCCAGACACUGUUCUAGAUGAGUAUCCCUUCUUGAGAAUCGAGGAACAAGUGGAUAAGCUACAGUUGUAACAUUGCUUAAUAUGGAAAAUACACUGCAGCAGAGUGGUCAAAACUGCCCAAUGCAUCACUGGCACCAACCUACCUGUCAUCAAGGACAUGUAUACAGAAAGGUGACAGAAAAUGGCCAAAAACAUCAUGAGGGAUCUCACCGACUCUGCUCAUGGACUAUUUGUUCCAUUCCCAUCAGGGAGGAGACUAUAUAGCAUCCAUGCCAAGAACUCCUGACUCAAAAACAGUUUCUUUCCCCAAGUGGUUAUGCUCCCUCUAAAUUAUAAUGAUUAGUGUGCACAAAAAUCUUGUGCUUUGCAAUUUUUUUGCCCGGUGUGUGCACUGCAACGUUCCCUCUAAGGAACAUUCAAACUACGCACAAAAGCUUGUCACCCUCUACCCUUGUUGGCAUGUUAAGUAUAUUUUAGAAUCUUAUUCAAUCAUAUUAAAUUUUCUGGAUAGAGUUGACAACAAACACGAGGAAAUCUGCAGAUGCUGGAAAUUCAAGCAACACACACAAAAUGCUGGUGGAAUACAGCAGGCCAGGCAGCAUCUAUAAGGAGAAGCACUGUCGACGUUUCGGGCCGAGACCCUUCGUCAGGACUAACUGAAAGGAAAGAUAGUAAGAGAUUUGAAAGUAGGAGGGGGAGGGGGAAAUGCAAAAUAAUAGGAGAAGACCGGAGAGGGUGGGUGAAGCUGAGAGCUGGAAAGGUUUCCCUUUUGCCAAUCACCUUUCUACUUUCAAAUCUCUUACUAUCUUUCCUUUCAGUUAGUCCUGACGAAGGGUCUUGGCCCGAUAGAUGCUGCCUGGCCUGCUGUGUUCCACCAGCAUUUUGUGUGUGAGAGUUGACAACGUGGAGCUUGCGAUGAUUUGUCUGCAGAUUUUAGAAUUGGCUUAUUUCUACUGUUUUUAUUGAAGAAAUUAUCAAUUCACUAUGUCAAAUUCCACAGAAGCAAAAGGCAUGAAGUGCAAAAGAACAGCUAGCUCAUUUAAAGCGGAAUGGCUUAAUGAAACAGUAGAAAUUGCUACACCAAAAGCUCACGAGGCCACGAACGUGCAGCUGCACAGAAAAAGGUGGUAAUGCAAGGAGGGGAAUUAAAGGCAUAGCCAAAGCAAAGAUAGUGAUCUACAUUGAAUUUAUGAUUUGAAUAUCUCUUUGCCUGAUCACUGCAAUAAUUUUAAUUCAUUACUUAUUCACUUGUUGAAAAAGAAAUGUUUGGUAUUUGAGAGAAAUGAUUAAAUUAAAGACGGUUCUUAAGGAGUCCAUUUAGAAUGUGCUGACACAGAAAGAACGUGCAAAGCACGUUGCAGGGCAACGUAUAAACCAAUUUGCAAAAUGAGGAUGAAACAAUAGCUUGCUGAUUAAAGAAGCGAUACGGGUAACGGGAAGACAUGCUUAACGGUUGAACAAUAACGGUGUUAAUGCGCUGAGGCUGAUAAGUGGGCCAAAGGGUAAUCACAUUUGUAAUUUUGUAAUGAGAUUAAGGAAGAAUGUCUGCACCUCACAUGGGUGCAACUCACAAAGUCGUAAACAAGUAGGGUAUAAAAAACUGUGCAAAGUGUAAUUCGGCACUCAAUCUAGCAGGAGCUGGUUGGGUCCGAC